GGCAGUGGGGGGCAGAUAAAAGUCCUUUGGCCGAGGGUCACCUCCGUCCUUGUUGUUCACUUGAGAGCAGUGGAGAGGAAAACGGUCCCCACGGGCGGACUUUGGCUUCUGGAGCCGCGGAGCCCAGCGGUCCGGGCCUCCCCGAGCUCCGCCUGGUCCAAGAGUGACUUGGGAGAGCUGGCUCCAGGAGGCGGACCUCGGCCUAGUUUGCUGGCUGGAAUAGAACUCUAUUUCGAGGCAAUCAAUCAAUCUGCAGAAAACAAAAAUGGAAGUCGAGGUUUGGGAAGAGUUGUCUCAUCCCCAACUUGAGUGGUGCGGGCUGGGGGCGGAGACUCGGGACUGAUGAGAAGCCCUUUUUCCCACCUCAGCUCCUUUCCCUGGACUUCCAGAAGGAAGAAUUACCCUCUUCAGCCCCCUUGUUCCCCAUACCCAUCCCCGCGUGGCCGCCGACACUUUUCUGCCCCUCUUUUUCCUUUCAAGCGAGAAAAGCCUAAUUCCCGAGCCAGUGGAGUCGGUCCUCUCGCCCCUCCCGCUCCCACGCGGGUCCCCCUCUUCAGCCAUCGCUACUGCCACCACCUCGGUUCCACUCAAUCGAUUUUUGCUGCAUGUCAACACUUAUUACCGGUUUUAGCAGAGAAACCAGAGAAAUUUUACUCUAAUCUUAAAAGUUUAUUUGUCACUCUGCUUCUCAAACACCUCUUCCCCGCCCCCCAUGAAGAGAGGCUUUCUGGUUGUUGACAUUCUAUCUGAAAAGAUAGAAUCCAGAAUUUAUUGUGCGUGGGAUGUAUAACUUCAUUCAUUUCUUGCUGAGUAUUUUAUGUAUUUUAUGUAAAUGUUGAUUUUAGAUUUUGAAGAAUAGAGAAGGCCUGGAAAACAUAAAAGGACCAUCAAAGUUGUAUUUAAUUCUACUUAAUUGCGUUAAAAAAUCAUUGCUAUUUGUUUUGUAACAAUAUAUUAACAGUUCAGUGGCAACUGGAAAACAAGAGAGAGUUGAAGCUUAAAUUCCUGUCAAAAAAUGACUAAAAGAACUAUAUAAAUUUCUUUUUAGAAAUAUUUAAAAAAUUAAUAAAUGUGUGGUAAAGGUGUUAAUUUCUGAGAGCUGUGUGAGGGACUGCAUUUUUUUUUUCUUCUCUCUGAAGGG